rnacentral:tRNA from 1 species
UAUUAAGUGGCCGAAUAUAAGCACUAGACUUUUAAUCUAGAAAAUGAUUUAUUUUUAAUCCUUAAUGG